GUUUGAUGUUCUAACGUGGACCCGUAAUCCGGGUUGCGGACAGUGUCUGGUGGGUAGUUUGACUGGGGCGGUCUCCUCCUAAAGAGUAACGGAGGAGCACGAAGGUUGGCUAAUCCUGGUCGGACAUCAGGAGGUUAGUGCAAUGGCAUAAGCCAGCUUGACUGCGAGCGUGACGGCGCGAGCAGGUGCGAAAGCAGGUCAUAGUGAUCCGGUGGUUCUGAAUGGAAGGGCCAUCGCUCAACGGAUAAAAGGUACUCCGGGGAUAACAGGCUGAUACCGCCCAAGAGUUCAUAUCGACGGCGGUGUUUGGCACCUCGAUGUCGGCUCAUCACAUCCUGGGGCUGAAGUAGGUCCCAAGGGUAUGGCUGUUCGCCAUUUAAAGUGGUACGCGAGCUGGGUUUAGAACGUCGUGAGACAGUUCGGUCCCUAUCUGCCGUGGGCGCUGGAGAACUGAGGGGGGCUGCUCCUAGUACGAGAGGACCGGAGUGGACGCAUCACUGGUGUUCGGGUUGUCAUGCCAAUGGCACUGCCCGGUAGCUAAAUGCGGAAGAGAUAAGUGCUGAAAGCAUCUAAGCACGAAACUUGCCCCGAGAUGAGUUCUCCCUGAGACUUAGAGUCUCCUGAAGGAACGUUGAAGACGACGACGUUGAUAGGCCGGGUGUGUAAGCGCAGCGAUGCGUUGAGCUAACCGGUACUAAUGAACCGUGAGGCUUAACCUUAC
rnacentral:rRNA from 1 species